AAGCGAUUCAGUCAGUUUUGGUAUAUAUUACUUUAUUAAAGAUUAAGAAUGUGUUUUAACGGUACCAAUGUACAUAUGGACAAACUAGACCAAAUGCGCAAAAGACUCUGUUUAUUACAGUUUAUCCAGUUACUAUGAUUCAACUACGAAAAAGACGUCAGUCAGUCAAUUUAGUGACGAACCCUACAUCCAGCCAUGUGUCGUGUUUUUACCGUGAGCUGCCGAGCUCGUCUGCUGCCAGGCCACUGCCAGUAGUUUGACCAUCACAAAUUGGAUCAAAACCAGUGACUUUAAUUAACUGAAUGCCAAAAUGAGCUAUUUUUUCGAACUGGGAUACGGCCUAGGGUUGUUCAUUAUCAUUUUCAUCUGUGUGGGUAUCGUCGGUUGCUGUGUAGCUCUCUGCUGCUGCUGUUGCAAGAAAAGAAACCCGCAAAGGCACCAAAAUGUGACUACAGUAGUGUACACACAUCCGUCUUCUUCCCAAAUACCCGUUUCUGGGCCUCAGCCACAGUACCCAGCUUACCAGCCAGUACCUCAGCAAGCACACGGCGUACCUUACAUGACAGCACCUCCACCAUCAUACCAGGAAGCUAGUGAGAUAACACACACACACACACACACACACACACACACACACACACACACACACACACACACACACACACACACAUAUACUUCUGAGGUGUUUAACACAAAAUUGUGUUUUGUGUUUUCAGCUGAUCCAGCUCUCUUGCCACACAACCCAGGGAUGAUGUUCCUCCACCCCAGUCAGCCUUCUGGGCACUCAGACGUGCACACACAGUUGCCCUACAAUCCUGCUUUUUACCCAAACACAGCCUCAUUUAACCAACCUGUCAAUAAGUACUGAGUACCACUAGAUGGCGCCACCGUGUUAUGCAUUCCAUUGCAUUCCGCCACCUUCUUAUGCAUUCCAAACAGUCACAAAAGGGUCAAACCUGCUGAUGGUGCUGUAGCUGUGAAGAAAAAUGCCCUCAUAAAUAAUGUUUUGUUUACGUAUUGCUUGCAAUCAAUCGAUAUAGGAUUGAUUUACACAAUUGUUGGUCAAUCCACACACAAAGCUUAAGAAAUGAAACUAUUGCCGUGGCCUUGAUUAUUGAUACUGUUAAACAUCACUAUUUAAGGUCAGUAAAGGUCAGGUCAGUAUAGAACAGCUUUUAUGCACUGUGUAAAAAAUAUUAUUGAUGUCUGUCUGCCUGUGCUAAAGUGAGUUAUGAUAUGGAGAUUUGUAGUUUGGUAUGAUUGUGUCAAUUAUGGCUAAAACAUGUACCGUAUUCUGUAUGUCUGCAGCAUGGGAGGUGGGGCUUGAUGGAAAUUCUCAUAUCAUGAAGGAUCAAAAGCCAAAUACUUUUCUACUGUUUUUUAAUAGGUUUGUAAAACACAAGCAUUAUGUCUUAAAUAGUUCCCAUAAUGCAAUAAAAAUGUUAUUCCCUGCAGUGGGAUGAAACUGCAGUGUUCUGUUCCCGUUCUUCCUUUGGGAUCAUGUGUGGUUGAAUAGCUUUAGUGGGUGUGCUUGCAUUUAAUCCCAUAAUGUCCAGGGCCACUCCCUCUUAUUGCAUCCCCCGCUGUCCAUUAAUCAAUACAGUAUUAGUGCUGACCCCACAAAAUUCCUUUUCCUCUUUCUUUUUUUUUGCCUUUCCUCCUGCUGUCUGGUCAAUGUAAACACAAAGACAGGGCGGUGCUCCUGUGUAUCAGAAAUUAACAUUUUGAUCUGGUUUUAGAUGAUUUAUUCAGGGCUCUUGAGUGAACCAGUGAGCGCUGCGUGGGAGCAGCUGCUGACAAAAGUCAAAACUCCCCAGUGAAUGCCGUUGCCCACAGCCAAGAUGCUCCAAAGAGAUACGUGCCAAACUCCCACACAUACUUGAAAAGACAAACACAUUUGUCACAAUAUUGAGUGUAUAUUUUGAUACAAUAAAAAACAACAACAAUUGGUUCCUUUGACAAAGAAAGUUUCAGCUAAAAAAAAGAGUCAAAAAUACUGAGCUUUGGUUUGUGCAAAUGAAUAAAGUCAGAGUGCCACUCAUGCUUGUCCUCUAAGCAGGUAAUUAAGGUCAUUCCACAGUUUAAACCUGUUAAAGGAGUUUCUGUUCAUUUCUCAUGACAACUAAACCAAUAUUUUACAUGGGCAGAUUUGUCUUUGCAAAAAUAUGCUUAAAUAUUACAUUAAAUAGCACCAGUUUUAAAAUAUGCAUUCAGUAUUUUGUGAAAUUUCUAAUGAGUUAAUUAAAAAAAACAACUUUUUGGUCAUUUUUUGUUUAAUAGACACAUUUUAUUUAUUUAUUUACAAUGGCCUGAUUAUUUGUCAGAAUUCCAUUAGAUUUCUAUUUAGUUUAUUUGAGAUUGUGUCCACUAACUAGAACUGUCUUUGAGAAAAUAAGUUUUUCCUUGUUUGUAACACUAUUAUAUCUGUAUCAGUCUUUUUCUGUUGGCAUAUUUGGAUUAGUUUAAGUUUGAAAGUUAUGUCUUAAUAUAAAGUGUGAACAGUGAGAACUUCUCUUUCAAUUACAUUUCUCUAACCUGACUGAGCUAUUACAUCAGCUGUGUGUUUUGACGAAUAUUCACGUUUAUUAUCUAUAAAUCUUAGUUUAAAAAAAUAAAAAUAAUCGGACGUCAUCCUUAAACGCGUCCAUCUAGGAACCGUUACUAAUUACCCGGUACAUUUACAGGUUGACCCGCAAAAGCGAUUCAGUCAGUUUUGGUAUAUAUUACUUUAUUAAAGAUUAAG
rnacentral:lncRNA from 1 species